rnacentral:lncRNA from 1 species
GACGUCAAAAAAGUUGGCAAUUCCGAUGGUCCAAAGCACUCCUCUUCGUGUGCGGAGUACCUGAAGCCAUGGUCCACGAGCAAUGACGACGAUAGCGACGAUGCAUUCGAGGCGAGUGCAUAGUCAGGACGGCCGGAUGUGGGCUGGGUUUUGCCAAUUGCGAUCCCUAGACAAAACACCAAAACGAGCAAGGGCGAAUUCGCAUCACUGCGAAUUCCAAACAAGAGAGCAAACGCAAAGAGAAGACGAAGGAGAGCGAGAUGAGAGCGAGAGCGGACAACCGAUCGGCGAAAGAGCGCCGAGGGGAGUUUCUAUCCAACCUCCGACGUAAAAGGUUGUGUGCGAGACCAGACGACGAACGACGCAGAUACCUAAUUCUUGUACCGUUAUACCAUAC